AGGUCCCUUCCAACCCAAACUAUUCUAUGAUUCUGAUACGGAGAAGAUUAGCAUGGCCACUGUGCAAGGAUGACAUGCAAAUUUGUGAAGCGUUCCAUAUUUUA
rnacentral:snRNA from 1 species